UGUUACAUUUUAAAAUUAAAAGACAGUAAUGUUACAAUCAUAUAAGUUUUGGGACAAUUGUUAAAAUUUAUUCCCAUUUUGGACAAGGGACAACAGCCACGCAAUACUCAUGGGAGACUCAUGCUCUUGUUGGACCUUAGGCCUUGCUUCUAUUAUGUGAUUGACAAGAAAAGAUUAGAAAGGCCGUUUAGUCCAUAUUAUCUUUUCCAUUGAGGUUUUGCAUCAGAAAGCAAGUGCCUUCUUCUGUCUGUCUCAUUUGUCUCUGGUAGCACCGUUUUAGAUGAACAAACAUAAUCACAUGCAAGGCAACUGUAUUAUAGACAACAUCUGACAAAUAUCUAAUCCUGUUUACCCUUCCAUCUAUAAACACUGCAACGUCUGUACUGCUUCCGAAUUCUCAACAGAUCAUUAGGUUUUGGAUGCAUAGUUUAGUUGCUUUAUAGAUAAAAUCGAUGAGCCUUACAUGGUACCUUUCAAUUCUGAGAAACAUUAAGCCCAUAUCCUGCUUUCAUCGAAGCAAUACAAGUACAUCUAUUCCAUAUUUCUGCUGCAUAAUAAUAUGUUAGCAAACACAAGAUGGCAGCAAUUCAUCAAUCAUCCCAAUCACUUUCAAGUGAAAUGCACAAACUUGAA
rnacentral:misc_RNA from 1 species